rnacentral:rRNA from 1 species
AUUAGGCAGUUGGCGGGGUAACGGCCCACCAAACCGACGAUGGAUAGGGGUUCUGAGAGGAAGGUCCCCCACAUUGGUACUGAGACACGGACCAAACUCCUACGGGAGGCAGCAGUGAGGAAUAUUGGUCAAUGGCCGAGAGGCUGAACCAGCCAAGUCGCGUGAGGGAUGAAGGUUCUAUGGAUCGUAAACCUCUUUUAUAAGGGAAUAAAGUGCGGGACGUGUCCCGUUUUGUAUGUACCUUAUGAAUAAGGAUCGGCUAACUCCGUGCCAGCAGCCGCGGUAAUACGGAGGAUCCGAGCGUUAUCCGGAUUUAUUGGGUUUAAAGGGUGCGUAGGCGGCCUUUUAAGUCAGCGGUGAAAGUCUGUGGCUCAACCAUAGAAUUGCCGUUGAAACUGGGGGGCUUGAGUAUGUUUGAGGCAGGCGGAAUGCGUGGUGUAGCGGUGAAAUGCAUAGAUAUCACGCAGAACCCCGAUUGCGAAGGCAGCCUGCCAAGCCAUUACUGACGCUGAUGCACGAAAGCGUGGGGAUCAAACAGGAUUAGAUACCCUGGUAGUCCACGCAGUAAACGAUGAUCACUAGCUGUUUGCGAUACAUUGUAAGCGGCACAGCGAAAGCGUUAAGUGAUCCACCUGGGGAGUACGCCGGCAACGGUGAAACUCAAAGGAAUUGACGGGGGCCCGCACAAGCGGAGGAACAUGUGGUUUAAUUCGAUGAUACGCGAGGAACCUUACCCGGGUUUGAACGCAUUCGGACCGAGGUGGAAACACCUUUUCUAGCAAUAGCCGUUUGCGAGGUGCUGCAUGGUUGUCGUCAGCUCGUGCCGUGAGGUGUCGGCUUAAGUGCCAUAACGAGCGCAACCCUUGCCACUAGUUACUAACAGGUGAUGCUGAGGACUCUGGUGGGACUGCCAGCGUAAGCUGCGAGGAAGGCGGGGAUGACGUCAAAUCAGCACGGCCCUUACAUCCGGGGCGACACACGUGUUACAAUGGCGUGGACAAAGGGAAGCCACCUGGCGACAGGGAGCGAAUCCCCAAACCACGUCUCAGUUCGGAUCGGAGUCUGCAACCCGACUCCGUGAAGCUGGAUUCGCUAGUAAUCGCGCAUCAGCCAUGGCGCGGUGAAUACGUUCCCGGGCCUUGUACACACCGCCCGUCAAGCCAUGGGAGCCGGGGGUACCUGAAGUCCGUAACCGCGAGGAUCGGCCUAGGGUAAAACUGGUGACUGGGGCUAAGUCGUAACAAGGUAGCCGUACCGGAAGGUGCGGCUG